rnacentral:rRNA from 1 species
CCUACGGGAGGCAGCAGUAGGGAAUCUUCCACAAUGGGCGAAAGCCUGAUGGAGCAACGCCGCGUGGGUGAAGAAGGUCUUCGGAUCGUAAAACCCUGUUGUUAGAGAAGAACGUGCGUGAGAGUAACUGUUCACGUUUCGACGGUAUCUAACCAGAAAGCCACGGCUAACUACGUGCCAGCAGCCGCGGUAAUACGUAGGUGGCAAGCGUUAUCCGGAUUUAUUGGGCGUAAAGGGAACGCAGGCGGUCUUUUAAGUCUGAUGUGAAAGCCUUCGGCUUAACCGGAGUAGUGCAUUGGAAACUGGGAGACGUGAGUGCAGAAGAGGAGAGUGGAACUCAAUGUGUAGCGGUGAAAUGCGUAGAUAUAUGGAAGAACACCAGUGGCGAAAGCGGCUCUCUGGUCUGUAACUGACGCUGAGGUUCGAAAGCGUGGGUAGCAAACAGGAUUAGAUACCCCUGUAGUC